rnacentral:tRNA from 2 species
GGACCUGUGGCUUAGCCUGGAUAUAGCGUCGGGCUUCUAACCCGAAUGUCGGGGGUUCGAAUCCCCCCAGGUCCG